AUGCUGCUUUGCCAUUUCUUCACAGAUACAAAUAUGAAUGGCCUGCUCAUCCUGGGUGUAUUGCUGUUUAUUCCAGGGCAAAGUGGUGCUAACCAUGCCAGCACCAGCCCUCAAUCUAUUCCCAGUGAAUCCACAACUAAUGUAUCAACAACAACUUCCACUGGUUCUACAAGCAGGACUGAAUCUCAGCCUGCCACUUACACUGUCUCCACUACCAGCAUCACCACCACCACCACCCCUGUGUGCCAGUUGAGGAGACGUCUGAGAACCGAUGGCGAAUCUGUCAGCAACAACGAGUACUGGAUGAGGACUGACAAUAGGGACAAAAGCAAGCCUGACUCUGAGAGAGAAGCCAAAGAGAGCACCAUGUUAAUGGCUGAGCUAACUCCAGCACAAGGGGAGACAAAUAACGGCACCAUCAAAGAAGACGGUGAGAAGGUAAAGGAAGAUGAGAAAACACCAGAGGAGAAGGCAGUGGGAGAUGCGGCCAACAGCGAGGAGGCUUCAGCCGCACCUGUAACUGCAGCUGAAGAUUCACCCUCCCCCAACCCACAGGCGGCCACCGAAGCCCAGCCCAGCCAAGCUGUGGAAGCAGCCUCCUCUGAGGGCAAAGAGGAAGGUGAUGUAGAAAAGAAAUAGGAAGAUUCCCAUCUCAUUCCUAAGAUUCCCACAACUUCUAAAUGCUCGGGUUUUAUGGAUGUCUUACACUGUGUGUUUCAUACUUUGAAUAGCUCAUGAAAUAACUCAAGAAACUGCCCCCUUUUGUGUUCUUAUACAGCCUGCAUCACUCUUCUUAUAUAUUGGAUAAGAAAAAUGGGAUAGUGAUCAACUUCUUGAGUAAAUCGUAGCACAAGACGUUGAUGUCUGAUAAGACAAGCUAAAUAUAUGAACAUUUUGUUUUCUUUGCCAGAGGAUGUGAUGUGGAGUUUUGUGUAUAGCUGCCUUUAUUUCACUUUGUUUAAAGCCUUUAACUGUAAUUUUUUUUUCCAGGCAGAUUUUUUGUUCUAUUUUUGAUUAACAAAAUCAAUUUGAUAAUCAACCAGCUGUGUGUAUUCUAAGCUAGUCAACCAUUUCUUACUGGAAAAACAACAGAGUGAUGUUGCUUCCAAUUCUUGUGUGUGAAAAUUAAAAUAUUUUAACAUUAGAAUAAGCUUUUUGUUUCUUUCCCCCCAGCUCAACUUGUGUUUCACACUUUUUCCUCUCUUACUCUAAUUUGACAAUCACGCAACCAGCACAACAGAGAUCCAUCAUUCAGAGUCAUCAUUGGCCCUUCAGCUGUGUAACGAGCUGGCUUUCGUGUGUGUGUGUGUGUGUGUGUGUGUGUGUGUGUGUGUGUGUGUGUGUGUGUGCGGUCUGCUUGAUUAGCAAGCAGAGAAUGUGCGUCCUCCAGGCAGUGCCACUCAACUCUAAAAGAAUGCUCUCUUUCACCUCAGCCAGAGCUGACAAAAGACAUACAUAGAAGCACAGACACACACACACACACAGAAAACUUUUCCAAAAAACCAAUACGGGGUUGUUUCCGCUGUCAUGUGCAGAACUUUGUUUAUCCUCAUGCAGGUGACGUCAUGAUGAAUGUGCACCUUUCUUUAACAGUUCUGAAUAGUUUGUUCUCUGCUGAGCU
rnacentral:lncRNA from 1 species